AUAUAAAGUGUGAACAAAACAUGUUGGUAUUGUCAUAAAACAAGCAUGGAACAUCGGAAAUUAUAGAUACGUUGGAGACGUAUCAAGGAGCUCCGCCCUCUCCUUUGCAAGGGAGACGUAGCUCUGAGCUCACCUCCAUUAUCCUUCCCCGUUCCUGCUCCUCCAUCUCGACUAGUUCGCCUCUUCCCCUCCGGCCAUGACGAGAUCUGCCUCUCCUUCGCAAGCGGUGGCCGCGCAUCCAGCAGAGGUUCCAGGGAGAUGCAGGUUCGAGCUCCUCUGCCUUCCUCACUUGGCCAUCUCCGCCGUGCACAGAGACAGUCCGGCCGGGCAGCACUGGACAAGUUGUUUAUGGGUUGCCGCUCGCGUUGGUGCUGCUGCUCAUCUUCAUCCUACACUGCAUUCAUUCAAUGGAGGAGCACAUUUGAUGAACGAGGUCAACAAGCCAGCCAAGGAAGGCAGCGUGAAAGGAGGUUUAACCAGGCAUUAAUUGGUCUCUGAGUUGUUUUCAGCAUUGGAUGGACCAAUUGCCCUCCCUCUUCUAACCCAUCGUGCAUCUCGAGAUUCAUCUCCCUUCACCAUUUUAUUCCAUACAG